UCUCUGGUAGUAUAUCGGUUAGUACACGCGCCUGUCAUAAUACCUGUCGCACUGUAUUGCGCGCGAAAGCUGGGUUCGACUCCCAGCCAGAGAG